rnacentral:rRNA from 1 species
GACGAACGCUGGCGGCGUGCUUAACACAUGCAAGUCGAACGGAAAGGCCCUGCUUUUGUGGGGUGCUCGAGUGGCGAACGGGUGAGUAACACGUGAGUAACCUGCCCUUGACUUUGGGAUAACUUCAGGAAACUGGGGCUAAUACCGGAUAGGAGCUCCUGCUGCAUGGUGGGGGUUGGAAAGUUUCGGCGGUUGGGGAUGGACUCGCGGCUUAUCAGCUUGUUGGUGGGGUAGUGGCUUACCCAGGCUUUGACGGGUAGCCGGCCUGAGAGGGUGACCGGACACAUUGGGACUGAGAUACGGCCCAGACUCCUACGGGAGGCAGCAGUGGGGAAUAUUGCACAAUGGGCGGAAGCCUGAUGCAGCAACGCCGCGUGCGGGAUGACGGCCUUCGGGUUGAAAACCGCUUUCGCCUGUGACGAAGCGUGAGUGACGGUAAUGGGUAAAGAAGCACCGGCUAACUACGUG